AUUGGGAUUAUCGCCGCACCGCGCACAGCGCGCGGCGCCAUCCGCUCGAGCCAAUGCGGCCGAGUUUAAUGCGCCAUCACUUGCCGGAUGCGCGCACCGUG
rnacentral:misc_RNA from 1 species